GACGAACGCUGGCGGCGUGCUUAACACAUGCAAGUCGAACGGAAAGGCCCUGCUUUUGUGGGGUGCUCGAGUGGCGAACGGGUGAGUAACACGUGAGUAACCUGCCCUUGACUUUGGGAUAACUUCAGGAAACUGGGGAUAAUACCGGAUAGGAGCUCCUGCUGCAUGGUGGGGGUUGGAAAGUUUGGGCGGUUGGGGAUGGACUCGCGGCUUAUCAGCUUGUUGGUGGGGUAGUGGCUUGCCAAGGCUUUGCCGGGUAGCCGGCCUGAUAUGGUGACCGGCCACGUUGGAAUUGAAAUACGGCACAGACUCCUACGGGAGGCAGCAGUGGGGAAGAGUGCACAAUGGGCGGAAGCCUGAUGCAGCAACGCCGCGUGCGGUAUGACGGCCUGCGGGUUGUAAACCGCUUUCGCCUGUGACGAAGCGUGAGUGACGGUAAUGGGUAAAGAAGCACCGGCUAACUACGUG
rnacentral:rRNA from 1 species